AGUUUGUGUUCCAAGGUAAGAGAACCUGAAAUGAAAAACUCUGGAUCCUUCACGAACAGCCUGACCCUGCUUUCAACCAGGAAGUUCAAGGGAGGCAGGACUUUACGGUCAAAACUGCAAAGCCGAAGCUCAAGACUGUAAGAAGAAAGUGGUCUUCAAAGAAAAGGAUUCACCCAAAUCGAAGAGGAUAUCGUUUCGCAUCAGGGACACUCGUCUCACCUCAAAGUCCUGCGCACCUACCCUUCACGUCUCUCCAAAGCAACUGAAUUAAAGCGCCUACUGGCCUUGGCGGCGCAGGUCCCAAGAUUUUGACUGCUUGAUUGUACGACUAGAGUUGCUGGAGUUCAAGUAUUUUCAUUUUAAGUAUUCAACUGAAAGCAGUGCGUUACAACAGAACAUGGGUUCCAAAGAAUUUACUGAGAAGCAGCAAAGUAAUACUUGGGAGAACUAUAAUACACAGGCAUCUCAUGAAAAUCAACCAACAUAUAGAAGAAUAUAUAGAAUAAAGCAAAAAUCAUCAGAAACUCCACAGUCUUGGAUGACCAUAGUUGAUAUUCUGAAUGGCUUCUGUUCCGAUUGAACCUUGACUGAUGUAGCACCUAUCACCAAAUUGCUGUUCAGGAAAUAUGUCCUAAAGAAACUCCCAACAACAGCAAUACAUCAGAGUGGCACCUCUUUACACUGGUUCUUGAGAAGAUGUCAGAGUGA
rnacentral:lncRNA from 1 species